UCUAAGAUUAAGCCAUGCAUGUGUCAGUACAAACUAAAUUAGAGUGAAACCGCGAAUGGCUCAUUAAAUCAGCUAUGAUUCAUUGGAUCUGUACACCCAGUUUUCCUUGGAUAACUGUGGUAAUUCUAGAGCUAAUACAUGCACAUAUAGUCCCUAACCUCCUCUCUUGUCUGAUGAUGAGAGAGAGAGGGAAGGGCGCUUUUAUUAGUAUCAAAACCGGUCAGGCUUCGGUCUGUAAACCUAUUUGAUGACUCUGGAUAACUUUUAGCUGAGCGCACGGUCUUUUGCACCGGCGCCGCUUCUUUCAAGUGUCUGCCUUAUCAGCUUUCGAUUGUAUGUUAUGUGCCUACAAUGGCAAUAACGGGUAACGGGGAAUCAGGGUUCGAUUCCGGAGAGGGAGCCUGAGAAACGGCUACCACAUCUAAGGAAGGCAGCAGGCACGCAAAUUACCCACUCCCGGCACGGGGAGGUAGUGACGAAAAAUAACGAUGCGAGACUCAUCCGAGGCUUCGCAAUCGGAAUGAGUACACUUUAAAUCCUUUAACGAGGAUCAAUUGGAGGGCAAGUCUGGUGCCAGCAGCCGCGGUAAUUCCAGCUCCAAUGGCGUAUAUUAAAGUUGUUGCGGUUNNNNNNNNNNNNNNNNNNNNNNNNGAGUGGAGCCUGCGGCUUAAUUUGACUCAACACGGGAAACCUCACCAGGCCCAGACACUGGAAGGAUUGACAGAUUGAGAGCUCUUUCUCGAUUCAGUGGGUGGUGGUGCAUGGCCGUUCUUAGUUGGUGGAGCGAUUUGUCUGGUUAAUUCCGAUAACGAACGAGACUCUGGCCUAUUAACUAGUCGACGGAUUUCCAAACCAUGCAAUUGGUGUCCAGUUCGCAAUAUUAUCUUCUUAGAGGGAUAAGCGGUAGUCCUAGCCGCACGAGAAUGAGCAAUAACAGGUCUGUGAUGCCCUUAGAUGUUCUGGGCCGCACGCGCGCUACACUGAAGGGAUCAGAAUGUUUUCCCCCUCCGAAAGGAGCGGGUAACCCGAUGAAACCCCUUCGUGAUAGGGAUUGGGGCUUGUAAUUAUUUCCCAUGAACGAGGAAUUCCCAGUAAGCGCAGAUCAAGAGUUUGCGUUGAUUACGUCCCUGCCCUUUGUACACACCGCCCGUCGCUACUACCGAUUGAAUGAUUUAGUGAGGCCUUCGGACUGUCGCUCUUGGAUUUCUUGGCUUAAUGCUAGUUCCUAGAGCUGACGGAAAGAUGUCCAAACUUGAUCAUUUAGAGGAAGUAAAAGUCGUAACAAGGUUUCC
rnacentral:rRNA from 1 species